CAGUAGCCACGGUAAUACAGAGGGUGCAAGCGUUAAUCGGAAUUACUGGGCGUAAAGCGUGCGUAGGUGGUGGUUUAAGUCCGUUGUGAAAGCCCUGGGCUCAACCUGGGAAUUGCAGUGGAUACUGGGUCACUAGAGUGUGGUAGAGGAUAGUGGAAUUUCCGGUGUAGCAGUGAAAUGCGUAGAGAUCGGAAGGAACAUCUGUGGCGAAGGCGACUAUCUGGGCCAACACUGACACUGAGGCACGAAAGCGUGGGGAGCAAACAGGAUUAGAUACCCCAGUAGUCCCUGUCUCUUAUAC
rnacentral:rRNA from 1 species